rnacentral:rRNA from 1 species
CUACGGGAUGCUGCAGUGGGGAAUAUUGCACAAUGGGCGCAAGCCUGAUGCAGCCAUGCCGCGUGUAUGAAGAAGGCCUUCGGGUUGUAAAGUACUUUCAGCGGGGAGGAAGGGAGUAAAGUUAAUACCUUUGCUCAUUGACGUUACCCGCAGAAGAAGCACCGGCUAACUCCGUGCCAGCAGCCGCGGUAAUACGGAGGGUGCAAGCGGUAAUCGGAAUUACUGGGCGUAAAGCGCACGCAGGCGGUUUGUUAAGUCAGAUGUGAAAUCCCCGGGCUCAACCGGGGAACUGCAUCUGAUACUGGCAAGCGUGAGUCUCGUAGAGGGGGGUAGAAUUCCAGGUGUAGCGGUGAGAUGCGUAGAGAUCUGGAGGAAUACCGGUGGCGAAGGCGGCCCCCUGGACGAAGACUGACGCUCAGGUGCGAAAGCGUGGGGAGCAAACAGGAUUAGAUACCCCUGUAGUC